AGCAGCCUGCCUGAAAAUCUCUUUUCUUUGCCUCUAAGAAGCUCUCAGAACAUAAUCUCACUCCAUCCAGUGCUCUGCGGCUCCCCCAAACCCUGGGGUGGUAGGGACUUGGUUCCCAUGCUGUUUAGAUUCAAGUGGACACUGGAUGCCAGGUGACCCUGGCUUUAGGAGUUGGCAAAGGAUGGUGCCCUACGCGGAGCAGCAGUCCAAGGACUGGUUGUUAAUAUUGGAUUGACCCUAACUUCUAAUAUGAGGUUUCAAGGAAUUCAACUAUGAAAACCAUUUGGCCUCAAGAAUUUUUCCGGAGGCUCUGUGUAAGGUACUGCGAUAGAUCAGUGAAGCAGGUGCCUGCCCUCGGAGAGCUGACAUUCUAGUUCCCUGCUCCAUCAUCAAGCGAAGAUGAUUUCAAGUGAUUCUCCAAAACACCUAUUAAAAGCCUCCUGGAGGUCUCAUCAGCACCUGUAUAAAACCCACAUUCCUUACACAACAGCUGGAGCCCUUCACAACCUGGCCCUCCCAUCCAACAGCUUCUCUAGCCCACGGGGACCCCUGUCCUGCCCACAGCCUUACUGGGCAGUUUGGAAUUUCCCAACUGUGUGCUCCCCGCAGCCUGCUUGUGUUUUCAUACCCCUCUCUCUCCAGCGUGACAGGCACU